GAUGAACGCUGGCGGCGUGCCUAAUACAUGCAAGUCGAGCGAACAGACGAGGAGCUUGCUCCUCUGACGUUAGCGGCGGACGGGGGAGUAACACGUGGAUAACCUACCUAUAAGACUGGGAUGACUUCGGGAAACCGGAGCUAAUACCGGAUAAUAUAUUGAACCGCAUGGUUCAAUAGUGAAAGACGGUUUUGCUGUCACUUAUAGAUGGAUCCGCGCCGCAUUAGCUAGUUGGUAAGGUAACGGCUUACCAAGGCAACGAUGCGUAGCCGACCUGAGAGGGUGAUCGGCCACACUGGAACUGAGACACGGUCCAGACUCCUACGGGAGGCAGCAGUAGGGAAUCUUACGCAAUGGGCGAAAGCCUGACGGAGCAACGCCGCGUGAGUGAUGAAGGUCUUCGGAUCGUAAAACUCUGUUAUUAGGGAAGAACAAAUGUGUAAGUAACUAUGCACGUCUUGACGGUACCUAAUCAGAAAGCCACGGCUAACUACGUG
rnacentral:rRNA from 1 species